rnacentral:rRNA from 1 species
AUUGAACGCUGGCGGCAGGCCUAACACAUGCAAGUCGAGCGGAGCGGGGGACGGGUGCGUAAUGCCUAGGAAUCUGCCUGGCAGUGGGGGAUCACGUCCGGAAACGGGCGCUAAUACAGCAUACUAUCAGCUGGGCCUAGGUCGGAUUAGCUACUUGGUGGGGUAGAGUCCUACCAAGGCGAAGAUCCGUAACUGGUCGGAGAGGAUGAUCAGUCACACUGGAAUGGAGACACGGUCCAGACCACUACGGGAGGCAGCAGAGGGGAAUAUUGGACAAUGGGAGAAAGCCUGGUCCAACCAUGCCGCGUGGGUGAAGAAGGUCUUCGGAUUGUAAAGCACUUUAAGUUGGGAGGCGUUACCAACAGAAUAAGCACCGGCUAACUUCGUGCCAGCAGCCGCGGUAAUAC